CCUACGGGGGGCAGCAGUCGAGAAUCAUUCACAAUGGGGGAAACCCUGAUGGUGCGACGCCGCGUGGGGGAAUGAAGGUCUUCGGAUUGUAAACCCCUGUCAUGUAGGAGCAAAUUAAAAAGAUAGUACCACAAGAGGAAGAGACGGCUAACUCUGUGCCAGCAGCCGCGGUAAUACAGAGGUCUCAAGCGUUGUUCGGAAUCACUGGGCGUAAAGCGUGCGUAGGCUGUUUCGUAAGUCGUGUGUGAAAGGCGCGGGCUCAACCCGAGGACGGCACAUGAUACUGCGAGACUAGAGUAAGGGAGGGGGAACCGGAAUUCUCGGUGUAGCAGUGAAAUGCGUAGAUAUCGAGAGGAAUACUCGUGGCGAAGGCGGGUUGCUGGAACUUAACUGACGCUGAGGCACGAAGGCCAGGGGAGCGAAAGGGAUUAGAUACCCCAGUAGUC
rnacentral:rRNA from 1 species